CCUACGGGAGGCUGCAGUGGGGAAUAUUGGACAAUGGGGGCAACCCUGAUCCAGCCAUGCCGCGUGUGUGAAGAAGGCCCUCGGGUUGUAAAGCACUUUCAGUGAGGAAGAACGCCUGGUGGUUAAUACCCAUCAGGAAAGACAUCACUCACAGAAGAAGCACCGGCUAACUCCGUGCCAGCAGCCGCGGUAAUACGGAGGGUGCGAGAGUUAAUCGGAAUUACUGGGCGUAAAGCGCGCGUAGGUGGCUUGAUAAGCCGGUUGUGAAAGCCCCGGGCUCAACCUGGGAACGGCAUCCGGAACUGUCAAGCUAGAGUGCAGGAGAGGAAGGUAGAAUUCCCGGUGUAGCGGUGAAAUGCGUAGAGAUCGGGAGGAAUACCAGUGGCGAAGGCGGCCUUCUGGACUGACACUGCCACUGAGGUGCGAAAGCGUGGGUAGCAAACAGGAUUAGAUACCCUUGUAGUC
rnacentral:rRNA from 1 species